rnacentral:rRNA from 1 species
UACGUAGGGGGCUAGCGUUGUCCGGAAUCAUUGGGCGUAAAGCGCGUGUAGGCGGUCCGGUAAGUCCGCUGUGAAAGUCGGGGGGCUCAACCCUCGGAUGCCGGUGGAUACUGUCGGGCUUGAGUACGGAAGAGGCGAGUGGAAUUCCUGGUGUAGCGGUGAAAUGCGCAGAUAUCAGGAGGAACACCAAUUGCGAAGGCAGCUCGCUGGGACGUUACUGACGCUGAGACGCGAAAGCUAGGGGAGCAAACGGG